CAGACGGAGAGUUUGAUCCUGGCUCAGGGCUAACGCUGGCGGCGCGCCUAACACAUGCAAGUCGAACGAACCUUCGGGUUAGUGGCAGACGGGUGAGUAACGCGUGAGCAAUGUGCCUUCUUUCUGGGGAUACCGUUUGGAAACGAACGUUAAUACCGAAUGUGCCCAUACUGCGGCAUCGUAGUAUGUGUAAACUGUUAGGGAGAGAAGAGCAGCUCGCGUUCUAUCAGCUAGAUGGUGGGGUAACGGCCUACCAUGGCUACGACGGAUAACUGGUCUGAGAGG
rnacentral:rRNA from 1 species